UUCCCAGUAUUAAGGGAUCCUUAUGCUCUACUUCCAUAUCCAGCACCACGAAGUCUGUAGGCACUUCUACUCCAUUAAUCAUGACUGGUAGGUCUUUUAGCAUGCCGAAGGGUUUUCUAGAAGACCUAUCCGCAAGGAUCAAAGUUAGA
rnacentral:sRNA from 1 species